GCUUAACCGGAGAAGUGCAUCGGAAACUGGGGAACUUGAGUGCAGAAGAGGACAGUGGAACUCCAUGUGUAGCGGUGGAAUGCGUAGAUAUAUGGAAGAACACCAGUGGCGAAGGCGGCUGUCUAGUCUGUAACUGACGCUGAGGCUCGAAAGCAUGGGUAGCAAACAGGAUUAGAUACCCUGGUAGUCCAUGCCGUAAACGAUGAGUGCUAGGUGUUGGAGGGUUUCCGCCCUUCAGUGCCGCAGCUAACGCAUUAAGCACUCCGCCUGGGGAGUACGACCGCAAGGUUGAAACUCAAAGGAAUUGACGGGGGCCCGCACAAGCGGUGGAGCAUGUGGUUUAAUUCGAAGCUACGCGAAGAACCUUACCAGGUCUUGACAUACUAUGCAAAUCCUAGAGAUAGGACGUUCCCUUCGGGGACAUGGAUACAGGUGGUGCAUGGUUGUCGUCAGCUCGUGUCGUGAGAUGUUGGGUUAAGUCCCGCAACGAGCGCAACCCUUAUUAUCAGUUGCCAGCAUUAAGUUGGGCACUCUGGUGAGACUGCCGGUGACAAACCGGAGGAAGGUGGGGAUGACGUCAAAUCAUCAUGCCCCUUAUGACCUGGGCUACACACGUGCUACAAUGGGCGGUACAACG
rnacentral:rRNA from 1 species